rnacentral:rRNA from 1 species
UACGGAGGGUGCGAGCGUUGUCCGGAAUCAUUGGGCGUAAAGGGCGCGUAGGUGGCCCGGUCAGCGUGCGGUGAAAGCUCGGGGCUCAACCCCGAGUCGGCCGUGCGAACUGCUGGGCUUGAGCACUGUAGAGGCAGGCGGAAUUCCGGGUGUAGCGGUGGAAUGCGUAGAGAUCCGGAAGAACACCGGUGGCGAAGGCGGCCUGCUGGGCAGUCGGC